GUCGAGGAUCAUUCGCAAUGGGCGAAAGCCUGACGAUGCGACGCUGCGUGGAGGAUGAAGGCCCUCGGGUCGUAAACUCCUGUCAUGGGGGGCGAGGCGGAGGCGGUUAACGGCCGCCCGAGUUGACGGUACCCCAAGAGGAAGCCACGGCUAACUCUGUGCCAGCAGCCGCGGUAAUACAGAGGUGGCGAGCGUUGUUCGGAUUUACUGGGCGUAAAGGGCGCGUAGGCGGCCGCGUGUGUGGGGUGUGAAAUCUCCGGGCUCAACCCGGAAAGUGCGCUCCAAACUGCGCGGCUCGAGUGCGGGAGGGGAGAUCGGAAUGCAGGGUGUAGCGGUGAAAUGCGUUGAUAUCCUGCAGAACACCGGUGGCGAAGGCGGAUCUCUGGAACGCAACUGACGCUGAGGCGCGAAAGCAGGGGGAGCAAACAGGAUUAGAUACCCGAGUAGUCC
rnacentral:rRNA from 1 species